rnacentral:Y_RNA from 1 species
GGCUGGUCUGAAGGUAGUGAGUUAUCUCAAGUGAUUAUUCACAGUUAUAGAUCAAUCUCCUUGUUCUACUCUUUCCCACUUCUUACUACUGCACUUGAUUAGUCUUCA